rnacentral:misc_RNA from 1 species
GAUGAAGAACGUAGCAAAAUGCGAUACUUGGUGUGAAUUGCAGAAUCCCGUGAACCAUCGAGUUUUUGAACGCAAGUUGCGCCCGAAGCCUUUUGGCCGAGGGCACGUCUGCCUGGGCGUCACGCAUCGCGUCGCCCCCCGCAAUUCUCCGUAAAGGGAACAUGUGUUUUGGGGGCGGAUAUUGGUCUCCCGUGCUCAUGGCGUGGUUGGCCGAAAUAGGAGUCCUUUCGAUGGACGCACGAACUAGUGGUGGUCGUAAAAACCCUCGUCUUUUGUUUCGUGCUGUUGCUCGCAAGGUAAACUCUUUAAAAACCCCAAUGUGUCGUCUCUUGACGACGCUUCGACCGCGACCCCAGGUCAGGCGGGACUACCCGCUGAGUUUAAGCAUAUCAAUAAGCGGAGGA